rnacentral:rRNA from 1 species
AACAAACGCUGGCGGCGUGCCUAAUACAUGCAAGUCGAACGGGGAAAGCUUUCGGGUGAGUACUGGUGGCGCACGGGUGAGUAACGCGUGGAUAAUCUGCCUUAGAGUGGGGGAUAACUAGUCGAAAGAUUAGCUAAUACCGCAUAAGACCACAAGAACUGCGGUUCAAGAGGUCAAAGGUUUUUCGCUCUAAGAUGAGUCCGCGUAAGAUUAGCUAGUUGGUGAGGUAACGGCUCACCAAGGCAACGAUCUUUAACUGGUCUGAGAGGAUGAUCAGUCACACUGGAACUGAGACACGGUCCAGACUCCUACGGGAGGCAGCAGUAGGGAAUAUUGCACAAUGGAGGAAACUCUGAUGCAGCGACGCCGCGUGAGUGAUGAAGGCCUUCGGGUCGUAAAGCUCUGUCGCAGGGGAAUAACACAAUGAAUGUACCCUGUAAGAAAGCACCGGCUAACUACGUGCCAGCAGCCGCAGUAACAC